rnacentral:rRNA from 1 species
GUCUAUGGCCUUGCUAACCUGAACAAGCCCAAACCCAUCUGAUCUUGGAAGCUAAGCAGGGUCGGGCCUGGUUAGUACUUGGAUGGGAGACCACCUAGGAAGAUCAGGUGCUGUAGGCA